rnacentral:rRNA from 1 species
AGUCACUGACAUUAGAUACCCGGGUAGUCCAGGGUGUAAACGCUGCAGACUUGGUGUUGGAAAUCCUUCGAGGGUAUUCAGUGCCGGAGAGAAGUUGUUAAGUCUGCUACUUGGGAGUACGUCCGCAAGGAUGAAACUUAAAGGAAUUGGCGGGGGAGCACCGCAACGGGAGGAGCGUGCGGUUUAAUUGGAUUCAACACCGUAAACUCACCAGGGAAGACUGUUACAUGAAGGCCGAGAUGAAGACUCUGCUAGAUUUUCAG